UGUUUCUGUGAAUAGGAAAAUUCUGUUAGCGAAGGACUCCUCGUUAAGAAAUUUCCAUCAGAUCUAAGAACACCGCCAAGAACGACAACGUUGCUGGGCAUACAAGGAAGAUGAAGAGUCAAAACGUUUAAAAAAAAGAAGGCGCCACAAACCAACGGAUGUCUCGCUAGGCGAGGUAAAAAUAUGUACAAAAUUGCCCCAAAAAUAGAGAAAAAUUCUCGUCGACGAGGACGAAGCGUUCGAAAGCCGCUGUAGCUGGAAAAUUCUAGAAAAAAAUAACGGAACAGCACAAAAAUAAAAUGUCGGCCGUAAAAAGGUUCGAUAGAAGAUUGUUGUCGAAGAUAGUGAGAAGUGACGAUGGAUGAACGUAUAUAUAAUACAUAUAUAUGAGAAAGAAGAAUAAAAGUUGUCGAAACAGACCGUGUAUAAAUUUGAUAGAUUUGAGGAAGAAGGUGAGAAUAGAAGAAACAGACGUAGGAGAAGAGAAUGAGAGAGAUAUCGUAAAAGACAAAGAGAGAAAGACGAGUGGUCUAGUCGUUGAAGAAACGAUAAAUAAAGAGGAAAAUAGUGAAUCGCAUUCUCAUAAGAAAGAGCGAGAAAGAGCGAAAAAUAUAGAGAUAGGGAGGAAUAAAAGUGAAAGACAUCGAUAUCACGCUGGUAGAUCGUGAAACUGUGUUUCAAGUUUCAAGUUGUCGAGGAAUACGAUCCAACCUCCGUCUUGGUGAAAUGGUGCAGGGUCGGCCAGUCGGGAAUUAAUUCGGCGAGAGAGGGUCUACGAGAUCCACUACUCUAUAAAACAACAAAAAUCGUCUACGAUCACAGUCUGAUUUACUACACGGGUAUCUUCUUCGUUGAGGCUGAUGGCAGGCAAAGUAAAGCAUAGAACAACAGUAUAGACGUAGUAGCAUACCGAGCUGUUAUUCAAUGAUCGCAAGUAAUCGAGAAAUGCAACAGACUUACAACGAAUGGACAUGCAUACCAAUAAGGACAAGCUACCUCAAGACAUACAAGAAAAAAAAAAAAAAA